GAUGAACGCUGGCGGCGUGCCUAAUACAUGCAAGUCGAGCGAACAGACGAUGAGCUCGCUCCCCUGACGUUAGCGGCGGACGGGUGAGUAACACGUGGAUCACCUACUUAUAUGACUGGGAUAACUUCGGGAAACCGGUGCUAAUACCGGCUCAUAUAUUGCACCGCAUGGAUCAAUAGUUCAUGACGGCUUUGCUGUCUCUUUUAGAUGGAUCCGCGUCGCAUUAGCUAGUUGGUAAGGUAACGGCUUACCAAGGCGACGAUGCGUAGCCGACCUGAGAGGGUGAUCGGCCACACUGGAACUGAGACACGGUCCAGACUCCUACGGGAGGCAGCAGUAGGGAAUCUUCCGCAAUGGGCGAAAGCCUGACGGAGCAACGCCGCGUGAGUGAUGAAGGUCUUCGGAUCGUAAAACUCUGUUAUUAGGGAAGAACAGAUGUGUAAGUAACUAUGCACGUCUUGACGGUACCUAAUCAGAAAGCCACGGCUAACUACGUG
rnacentral:rRNA from 1 species